GCUCCGGUGGCCUAGUGGUUAGAGCGUCAGCCGCUGAUGCAGGAGCUCGCGGGUUCGAACCCAGGUCGAGUCA